rnacentral:lncRNA from 1 species
GCGGGAUGAUUGGCGUCCGAGCGCUGGGCUGUUCCGUGGACCCGCGCGGCCACGCCAGUGUGCUGUGCACGGGAAAUGUGGACGUGGGAGCACGGAGGCACCCAGUACUGUGGCGUGGUGCUCGUCUGGUCGUCAGCGAGCCUCAGCGUACUUAGGACACCGCAGUUUAUCUUUCCUUAGCGCUCCUAACGGUUAUGGAAAAUAGCGCUUGAAAACCUGCACCCGCCUGGGUCACCUCCUCUUCCUGGAUUCAGCUACUGUUAACGGAAGAAACCAUGAAGCCUCAGAAGGUUAGAGCCAAAGGGACUCUACUGUGUAGCCCCAAUCACCUUCUUUUACAGUUAAGAGCCUGGAACCCAGAGAGGUUGAGUGACUUGGCCAAGACCCCCUGGAGGCAGAGGAGAGCAGAACCAAUGUUUCAGACUCCCACAUGACUUGCGCAUCAGUGUCUUUUUUUUGACAAUCUGUUGCUAUAAGAAAUUACUCGUUUGGAUAAUUUUCACACUAGAAAACCCUGUGACCCAAGGCUAGCAUUGAGAAGCUAAAGCUGGCCACUGACAUACUGUGAUUUUAAGGACAGUCUCCUUCGAAAUUAUCUGCCUUUCAAAAUCUUUGCCAUUGGAGACACUGGUUGGGGUUAUGUUAGUCUUCCUUAAGGAGGGCUCUACUAAAAUGCCAGACUAGGCCGGGCAUGGUGGCUCAUGCCUGUAAUCCCAGCACUUUGGGAGUCCAAGGCAGGUGGAUUGCCUGAAAUUAGGAGUUCAAGACCAGCCUGACCAACAUGGUGAAACCCCAUCUCUAUUAAAAAUACAAACACUAGCUGGACAUAGUGGCUUUUUUGUGCCUGUAAUCCCAGCUACUCAGGAGGCUGAGACAGGAGAAUUGCUUGAACCCGGGAGGUGGAGGUUGCAGUGAGCCGAGAUCACGCCAAUGGACUCCAGCCUGAGCAACAGAGUGAGACUCCAUCUCAGAGAGAGAGAGAAGAAAAGCCAGACUAGUCAACAUUCAGACAUACAAGACGGAGAUCACCAUGCGAACCCAGCCUGGCCCUUAGAUGUGUGUGCUCGAGCCAGGAUCAUCCAGAGUCUGAUAGCGCCUGCACCCCAACACGGUUGGAUUCCAGGACGCCAGUGCCAAACCCAGAGAAAGGACAACCAGCUUCCAUGCAUUUGCAUUUAAUUUUUAAAAACAAUACAUAUUUCAGUGUUAACUUCCUCCCCUCACCUGGCUUGAAAUAUUUUCCCCAUUUUCUAGGGAAACAAAAUCUACCAAAAGGUGCCGCCUGCAAGACCCCGGGCCCAGCCACUUCUGGAGGGUGGUGCUGUGUGGACUCCUCUGGGGCCAGGACAGGGCCCCUUCCUGGGCUCCUCUUCAGAUGCAGCUUUGCCACUGUUUGUAUCUGUUGCUUAGAAAAUCGUCUUUAAUGUUUCAAGUGAGGAAAGGGUUUCCAGUCACCUCCUAGAUUUCACACCGGGACACACACCUGGGUCAGGUGAGCAUGACAGAGCCCCCAGGAUGGGCACCUGACUCUGCAGACCAGAGGCCAGUGCCGGUGGGGGCCAUGGCAGUGCCCUGGGCACACACACUCUGCACACUGUGGGCUCAGUGGUUCCUUCUGUGCACCUGCUAGGAAAGCUCCUGAAGGUCCCUGCCCGACUUGUCAAGAAAUCAGAAGCCGUUUUAGAGCCACAUUUUAUUGUACUUGUUGCUUCACCGCUGGACAGCAGCAUGACAUGCUUUGUGCAUGAUGUAUACAUAUACAUACAUGUACACACAAGGACACACCACAGCCUGCACUCACAGCAUGUGACAACACGAACCGUUGCUGGUAAGGACAGUAAAAAUGUAGCUUUUGCCAAUUCCACAGGACAAUGACUCACAACCAAAAUAACAGGCACAGAUCAGUCCUGCGCCACACUAUUUGGGUUCCCAGCUCCAAAUACUGGGAGUGAGAUCAGUGACUUCGUGUCCCCUCAUGAGAUGUCCCCACAGUAGGAUGCACUGAGCCAGAGCUAAGGGAGGGCGGACAAGCCCCACGUUGAACUCUGCCUGCAGCACCUGGACCCUCCCGGGGCAGCCUGCAUGCUGAUGCCCCUGCAGCACAAGGCUCGCCCGGAACAGAACGCCCUGGGCUCGGCAGGACAACGGGUGCCACCACUGGCAACACGUAGCACCUGAGAGCAGCCUCGACUGCGUGAGGCUCCAGGGCCUUCCCUGGAUGGCAGCAGCUGACGUGGAGAUGAAGCUUCCUGCUGGGCACAUGCACAUGCCAGUUUCUUUUCCUAAUAGGUCCCCACUGGGUGCUGGCUGCAUCAACUGAACAUCAGAGAACUAGGAAAGUUCACAAACACUGAGCAGUAGUAUCUAAAGCAGUUUAAAAAUAAAGCCAAAAGGAAGACCAAAAAAUCCCUCAUCACUGAGCGGAGACAAAUCUACAUACCAGCAGCUGCCUUGAAAGGGCCGGCGGGGCCGCUCCCAUGCCUCCUGCAGGUCAGAAGCAAUCAGUGCUGCCUGGACCCCCUUGUGAACCGAACAUGCCUCAAAAACACGACGACCCCAGCAGGCCCCUGGCAGCACCCAGCAGCAGCGUCCAAUGGGACGUUCUGUGCCCAUGGCCACAGUGGCUCACAAGCAUCAUCCGCAGCCCAAGAGUGAGGAGUCAGGGUCCUGUCACUGCCACCAGCAGGCAGGGGUGCUGGGGGCAUUCUGAUCUGUUAGCAUGUGGACAAGGAGGCGCGUAAGCUGCCCCCGGGGACUCACCACCUCUUUUAAUUAAUAGGGAAACAGUCCACUCAAGAAAAAGAGAAAACCUGGGAAGUUCUUUUUCCUGAAUUAAGACAAGGCCUUAAAACCUAAAGGGCAGAACACCGGAAACAGUUUUGCUUCCAGGUCAGGCAGUGGGAGGAACUCCAGGCCCCGAGUGUCUGGGCUUCCUAGGUGUCUUAUAAUCACAAUCACCACUGUGAGAAUUUUCAUGGCCAUGAUUUAUUUAGGUUUUACAAAUUCUGUAGGAACUGGGUUCCACAAACCUCCAGACCUGCUCCUCUUUCCCACCCUACCCCACCCUUUGCGGGGAGCUGCAUGGUUCUAAAAAAUGGUCCAUUGGACUCUGUAACUGAAAAGCCACCUGGCAAGGGGCCCACUUUGAUGGGUACCAAAGGGCCUUGGAGUGUUCUAGCCACAGAGCUGUGUGCAGGCACAACAGAGGGCCUGGUGGGGCUGAGCCAGGCCCCCUGACAGGUGGCUUUCUACUUUAGGUCCAAGCUUAGAACCUGGCUCUUGGCCAGUCUGGGGAAAAAUAACUCACUUCCUAAGCUACAUCUGCAAAAAUUGCAAAGGCUGAGUACAGCCAGCAUUUGAGGCUGAACUUGCUGCUGUGUUGAACGGCACGGAGGCACCCCAACGUCUCGCUGCCUCGCAUUUCAGGAUGGGCCAAACAAUGAAUUUCUUAUUCUUUUAGGAGAGGUCUGAUUUUGACAAAUUAUUUCUAAUUUAAUAUCACAGUGCAUAGCUCUCCUCUCAUCAAAGGUCUUCAUGAUCAUUUUAGGGAGAAAAACCAAAGAAAAGUGAGACAAACAAAACUGCCCCAGGACUUGGUGCUGGCAGCCAGCUCAUCACCCACAUGGGGAUCCGCAAUAGGGGUCAGCUGGGGGCCCUCAACCAGCACCCCGCUCCUAAGCACGUCCAGAUUUGUCCUCACCCAUGUCCCUUCUGGCAACUUCCUGGUCAACCUCAACCCACCCCUCUGCACAGCCUUGGGUGGGCCGCUGAGGGCCAUGAGUGAGCUGGGGCCAUGAGUCAGCAGGCAGGCCGGGAAAAAGGGCCUCAGGAGACUCAUCUGGUUGGUCCCAGCCAGAGCCACCACACACAGCCUCUUCCUCAGCUUCAUCUCUGCUGAGAACUCUGCAGCGGCCACCAUGGAUGUUCUGCAGAAGCCAGGCCCACUGAGUCUGCAGCAUGGGGCCAAAGGCAGGCCCAGCAUAUCCCGUGAGCCACAGAGUGGGGGCAGCUCUGAGCCCUCGGCCAGCACAGGGACAUCAGACCCGUUUCCCCCACUCCUCUACCCAGGGCGCCACCAACAAGGUCUAGGACAGACAAAAGACUGACUUCCAAUGGUCCACACGUGGAUUCCGUGGUCUGGCUGCUGGCCUCCCAGGGACCCAACCCUUCUGAGCCAGAGGGGUCACUCUGGUCCAGUCAGUCCUUCCUCCAGGGACAUAACGAAUCUGGCUCUGCCUGAAUCAUCGAUGACAGGGCAAAGGCAACUGGAGCAGAUGGGAGCUCUGGCAAACACGGGAGGAGGGUCUUGGAAGAGCCCCCGUCCCCAGCGGCUAGAUGCUUACACAUGGACGAUCUACUCUCCUGACUGUGGCUCAUCAGGCUGGUGCUACCAUCUGUGGUUGUAAAGGUCCAAAGAGGGCUACGGAAAGGACAGGUGGGCUGGAAGGAAUGUGGAGAAUGACCCCAGGACAGGGGAGGAGGAGACUGGCCCCAUCAAUCCAGUUCACAGCCGGGAAAAGUGCAGGAAGACAGACAAACGACCCCAAUGUGGGCGAAGGACACACCUCCAAGGACUGGAGCCGCAGAGUCCACGUGACAAGGAGACCCAGGAUAGAAACACUGUGCGGAGGACACGGUGUCAACCUCGGAAGGGGCCUCCUAUGCUUUCCACACCAAAUUCCCCCACGGGAGAAACCCUGCCACAAGGCCCAGGAAACCACAGACCCCAAGCCAACUGUGCCUAGCACAGACACCAAGGAAUGACAGCGAUGCCAGUGACGCCAGGAGGACUUGGCCCCUAGCCCCAUCAUCGGCUGUAUGAUGAUCGGUGUGUCUGCGGCCUCCCUCUCGUCAGACUGCAGCCUUGGGGGACACGUAGAACUCUGUCUCCUCGCCCUCAGGGGCCUUGAGCUUACACUUCCCGCAGCACAGCAGCGGUUGAAGCAGCACCACAGACAGCAGCAGCAGUAGCAGCAGGUGAGGAGGCUGCAGAAGACAAACAGGGCCUUGGCCCCCCCGGCUGGACAGCACGAGGCUGGAAUGCAGUGGUGCGAUCGCGAUCUCGGCUUAUUGCAACUUCUGCCUCCUGGGUUCAAGCAAUUCUCCUGCCUCAGCCUCCUGAGUAGCUGGGAUUACUGGCAUGCGCCACCAUGCCUGGCUAAUUUUUGUUUGCUUGUUUUUGUUUUUUGUUUUUUGUUUUUUUGAGACUGAGAUUUGCUCUUGUUGCCCAGGCUAGAUUACAGUGGUGCGAUCUUGGCUCACCACAACCUCCACCUCCCGGGUUCAAGCAAUUCUCCUGCCUCAGCCUUCCUGAGUAGCUGGAAUUACAGGCAUGCGCCACCAUGCCCAGCUAAUUUUGUAUUUUUAGUAGAGAUGGGGUUUCUCCAUGUUGGUCAGGCUGGUCUCGAACUCCUGACCUCAGAUGAUCCCCCAGCCUCGGCCUUCCAAAGUGUUGGGAUUAUAGGCGUGAGCCACUGCGCCUGGCCUGUUUUUGUUUUUUUUUGAAAUGGAGUCUUGCUCUGUUGCCAGGCUGGAGUGCAGUGGUGCCAUCUUGGCUCACUGCAACCUCUGUCUCCUGGGCUCAAGUGAUUCUCCUGCCUCAGCCUCCCGAGCAGCUAGGACUACAGGCGCGCACCACCACACCCAGCUAAGUUUUGUAUUUUUAGUAGAGACGGGGUUUCACCGUUGGCCAGGAUGGUCUCGAUCUCUUAACCUCCUGAUUAGCCCGCCUCGGCCUCCCAAAGUUCUAGGAUUAUAGGCGUGAGUCACCGCGCUGGGCCUAAUCUUUUAUUUUUAGUAGAGAUGGGGUUUCGCCAUGUUGGCCAGGCUGGUCUCAAACCCCUGACCUCAAGUGAUCUGCCUGCCUCGGCCUCUCAAAGUGCUGGGAUUACCAGCAUGAGCCACUGCGCCCGGCUUGGACGUGACUUUCUUAUAUCAUUCUCCAGCCAUCAUUCUCCAGGUACCCUUCUUCCUGUACCUCCCUGAGAUCUGGGGCAGCAGUUUCAGUAGCGUGUGUGUGUGUGUGUGUGUGUGUGUGUGUGUGUGUGUGUACACCUCUGUAUUUCAUAUACACACUCCAAUUAUAGCUUCCCAUUAUCCACUGAAUGACAUUUAAAGGAUGAAAUUGAAGUGACUUGGACAAAAGUCAUAAAGCUUCUGUGCACAAAAUACAUAUUUGUUGUUGUCUGUAUAGGUGUCUCAUGUGGGCAGAAGGUGCCCGACUUUUCCCUGUGUCAGCCUGCAGCACCUCAAGGAGUGCCUGGCACAUCAC